rnacentral:lncRNA from 1 species
GGCGGUGGUUUCUAAAAAUCCUAAAGUCGACUUGGAUCCCACUAACACUUAUGGCUAGAGGCUACCUCUGAUGGGUAUAGAACUCUGAUGAGGCGAUGGAUGGUGGAUUACCAUUUUUCUGACUGCUGGUGAUUCUCACCUUUGGGUGAGUUUUGAGCCAGUCUGUUCAAGUUUUUUCAUUAAGUUUUGUUUGUAAUAAAAAUAUAAAUGAAUUUUAGACUUGCCGUUUUUUAAAGCUGCCCUGUUUUUCAAAGGUGUUUUCUAAGCAGAUCUUUAAUGGAGUAAACAACCUAUGGCUUGAAGGAAUUACGACAGGAUGGAAGGUCCUGAAGCGGGAUCUCAUGGGCAGAAUGCAGCAGGCACGCAUCUGAGUAACAAACAGACCCCAACUGGGGGGCCUGGAGGUGCUGGGGGCUCCCGUGGAGCGCCCCUCCAGCCGCGAGCGAGCGGGGAGGGUCACCUGUGCCAGCCACGCAGCGGGGGACAUCGGGCCCUAGAGCUGAGCACAGCGGGAGCAUUUCCUUACCUGCUGGUUCCGUGUUGGGAGAGAUGUGGAGUCUCAGCCACCUGUGCUCCUUUCCUCUGAAAGAUCUGCUGGCUCUGACGCUGCCGGAGGGCUUAGUCCGUGCUGAGCGGUUGUAGUUCAUUGGCUUUUUUAAGGCUUUCUGUCCAGACUUCAAAACUGAUUUCAGAGUUUUGGGGGGACCCUCUCCACCCCCUCACACCCCCCCCCCCCGAGGUCAGCCUGUGGGUGUUCGCCAUUUCCAUUUCUCUGCGUUGGGCAAGCGGAGUUCCAGUGCCGAGAACCGGAGGGCAGCCUGUCGAGGCUUAGGGCCUGUGUUCGGUGGGUUGGCCUCGUGCAGGGCACAGAAACGGCUGUGGAACAGUCCUCGUGAUCCCUGGGGGUCGAGGGGGCGGCUCGGGCUGUUAACUGAAUUCCAGAGAUGCUCACUCAUCUUGCUUACAAACUGUUAAGAUACGUUUUUCUUCUGUUUGUUUUUCGGUUUUUGUUCUUCUGCAAUAUUCACCUUUUACAGUUUGCGGGGGGGGGGGGGGGGGGGGAACACCGCCCACGAUAAAAGAUUUGUUACACCCGGUGUAGCGCUGUUCCCUAAUACUGGCAUAACACUUCCAGGAGGUUUUUCUUUUAUAUUUAAAAUGUUACUUUUCUGUAUGGUGUGCAUGCAAGUUUACCGUAACUUUUCUUAAGCUGUUUAGUGCCGUUUCUAGUAUAUUCCUGUAAAUGUCAGUUACUGAAAAUGAGUCCGGUGUACGUAGUUUUAGCUUGUUUAUUGCAAUGCUGGCCUCAACACAACAGAAUAAAAGUGGUAGAAAGUACUCUUUGAUGUUUCUGGUAAUCAUGGACCCUUCUCCUGGGGCAUUUGUUUUGUUUUCAU